rnacentral:rRNA from 1 species
CGGGGUGCAGCAGGCGCGAAAACUUUACAAUGCGGGAAACCGUGAUAAGGGGACACCGAGUGCCAGCAUCAUAUGCUGGCUGUCCAGGUGUGUAAAAUACACCUGUUAGCAAGGGCCGGGCAAGACCGGUGCCAGCCGCCGCGGUAACACCGGCGGCCCGAGUGGUGAUCGUGAUUAUUGGGUCUAAAGGGUCCGUAGCCGGUUUGGUCAGUCCUCCGGGAAAUCUGAUAGCUUAACUAUUAGGCUUUCGGAGGAUACUGCCAGACUUGGAACCGGGAGAGGUAAGAGGUACUACAGGGGUAGGAGUGAAAUCUUGUAAUCCCUGUGGGACCACCUGUGGCGAAGGCGUCUUACCAGAACGGGUUCGACGGUGAGGGACGAAAGCUGGGGGCACGAACCGGAUUAGAUACCCGGGUAGUCCCAGCCGUAAACGAUGCUCGCUAGGUGUCAGGCAUGGCGCGACCGUGUCUGGUGCCGCAGGGAAGCCGUGAAGCGAGCCACCUGGGAAGUACGGCCGCAAGGCUGAAACUUAAAGGAAUUGGCGGGGGAGCAC